rnacentral:rRNA from 1 species
UACGAAGGGGGCUAGCGUUGCUCGGAAUGACUGGGCGUAAAGGGCGCGUAGGCGGAUGGCACAGUCAGAUGUGAAAUUCCCGGGCUUAACCUGGGGGCUGCAUUUGAUACGUGUUGUCUUGAGUUCGGAAGAGGGUCGUGGAAUUCCCAGUGUAGAGGUGAAAUGCGCAGAUAUCGGGAGGAACACCGGUGGCGAAGGCGGUUCUCUGGGCCUUACCUGACGCUGAGGAGCGAAAGCGUGGGGAGCGAACAGG